ensembl:misc_RNA Metazoa_SRP Metazoan signal recognition particle RNA
GCCAGAUAUGGUGGUGUGCACCUGUAGUCACAGCUAUUCAGGAGGCUGAGGCAGAAGGAUUGCUUGAGCCCAGAAGUCCUGGGUUGUAGUGCGCUCUGCUGAUUGGGUGUCUGCCCUAAGUUCAACAACAAUGUGCUGACCUUCCAGGAGCGAGGGACCACCAGGUUGCCUAAGGAGGGUUGAACCUGCCCAGGCUGGAAAUGGAGCAAGUCAAAACUCCUGUGCUGAUCAGCAGUGGGGUCACACCUGUGAAUAGUCACUGUAUUACAGCCUGGGCAACAUAGUGAGACCCGUCUCUA